GCUCGUAGGCGGUUCGUCGCGUCCGGUGUGAAAGUCCAUCGCUUAACGGUGGAUCCGCGUCGGGUACGGGCGGGCUUGAGUGCGGUAGGGGAGACUGGAAUUCCCGGUGUAACGGUGGAAUGUGUAGAUAUCGGGAAGAACACCAAUGGCGAAGGCAGGUCUCUGGGCCGUCACUGACGCUGAGGAGCGAAAGCGUGGGGAGCGAACA
rnacentral:rRNA from 1 species